GGCUUAUGGUGGCCCGAAUUUAGCUUUUGGUGGCCGGAAUUCAGCUUCUCUAUAGUUGAUGAGAUCGUAUGGACAUUGGCAUGGGUUUGUGACUUAAUCGCUUGCAGAAGCGGUUUUAUCAGCAGUCUGGUCAAUAUAGGUGGGGAGAAGCGGUUUUUGGCGUUGUUUUGAUCGCUGAAAUUGGGUGGUUUUGAUGAAAUACCGCUUUUUAGGUGGUUUCGUGAAGCGGUUUUGGGUAGCGAGGUGGAUUCUGGCCCGGGUUAGGCGGUUUUGUGGUAAAACCAUUCUUGCCCUCUCUUUCUCUCUCAUCUUUUCUCUCCCUUGUAUCUUCUCUCUUCUCUCAAUUUCACUGUGCGUGUUGGACACCUGGCGGAAUUCGGUGUACAUAUUCAUUAUCAAAGAUUCUGGGAAUUUGAAUU